AUGGUUUUGCAUGGCAUCGUCUGGGGUUUUGAUGAUGUGCUUUCCUAUAAUGUGCUCCUUCAAAUUGGAAGGCUAGUUUCGGCAUAUAGGAGUCCCAUGUUUACAUCACUUUAUUUUCUAGUUGUUAUAUUUGCACAAUAUAGUCAAUAA
rnacentral:rRNA from 1 species